UACGAAGGGUGCAAGCGUUACUCGGAAUUACUGGGCGUAAAGCGUGCGUAGGUGGUGAGUUAAGUCUGAUGUGAAAUCCCCGGGCUCAACCUGGGAAUGGCAUUGGAUACUGGCUCGCUAGAGUGCGGUAGAGGGUGGUGGAAUUCCCGGUGUAGCAGUGAAAUGCGUAGAGAUGUGGAGGAAUACCGAUGGCGAAGGCAGCCCCCUGGGUCAAUACUGACGCUCAUGCACGAAAGCGUGGGGAGCAAACAGG
rnacentral:rRNA from 1 species